UACGGAGGGUGCAAGCGUUAUCCGGAUUCACUGGGUUUAAAGGGUGCGUAGGCGGACAGGUAAGUCAGUGGUGAAAUCUCUGGGCUUAACCCAGAAACUGCCGUUGAUACUAUUUGUCUUGAAUAUCGUGGAGGUUAGCGGAAUAUGUCAUGUAGCGGUGAAAUGCUUAGAUAUGACAUAGAACACCCAUUGCGAAGGCAGCUAACUACACGAUCAUUGACACUGAGGCACGAAAGCGUGGGGAGCAAACAGG
rnacentral:rRNA from 1 species